AGCAGCAGAGUAGCGAGGGCGUAGAUGGUGGUGCCACUCUGCACUCCCGUGCAUUUGCUUUAAAACUGAUAUCUGGCAAAAGCCAGAUUCUUUUCAAACCUGCAGCACGUCUUGAAAAAAUGUCACAGAGCAGCUGGUGUUUCCCAGUCCGCUCCACGGGGCUCUGCGUCGAGGACGGCGAGAAAACGGAGGAGGGAACACAUUUGGCUGGAGCUCCUGAUCGUCCUGUGACUGCGGCCUCAUCAGAUCGUUAUCAGCGGAGCAACUAAAGAGAAUGGACUCUUUUGUCAACAGGCAGGAAAAAGGUCAUGUAGGGGUCUCCUCUGGCCAGACCUGCUUCCUGUCUCUAUCACCGAGGAAAAGGUUAGUGCUAUCAGGGACCAACAACCAACAGUUUGUGUCUUAUCACACAACUAUGGACUGUAGAUCUGCAAUGGAGUGUCGCAUUUUUUAAAACUGAAGUUACUGUGAGCAAAAACGUUGUAGUGUUUAUGUGCGUCAUAUAGAGGCAUCAGUAUUAAAUCGAGGCUGUUUCAUAACCACUUAAAAGGCAGUGACUUUAAGCCUAAGUGUCUUUUCAUCACCUCACUAUGUUGCCUCCUGUUGCGUGUGCAUGUGUGUUUGCGUGUGAGUGUGUGUCAUAUAGAGCUCUUCGACAGCCCUCUCCCUAUAUUAUUUCAUCGUCUCUCCACAUGCGGCCAACAUCCAAUGCAAUAAUUAGCAAUCAGUCUCGCUCCGGUAGCUCCAUUCGCUAACCUGGGGCACACGCAAUGUCACACACUCACAAAUCACGCUGCAUAAGGGAGAAACACCCUGAAAUGAUGGUUCCCUGUCUACUUGAGGCUGUAUAUGUGUGUCCUUGUGGGCUCCAGCUUUGACACAAUAAAGCACAACAAUACUCAAAAGCAAAGGGGAAACACAAGACGAUGGCGCAGAGGAGAGACCCAUCAUACGAAAAAAGCAGGAACAAAGGCAAAUACAUGUCAGACUGUAGAUAGUGGGAUAUAAGACAUUGGUAAGCUGGAAAAAAGAUAUCCAAAUAAAGCAGGAUAAUGGAGAAGCGGGAGCACGUACACAUUUGCAGAAACUGCUGCAAAGAAUGGAAAACGGAUGAGGCACUUCAUGUAAUGAGCUUUCCAUGAAUGUUCAUUUUAUAAUCAGCUUUCCCUCUCAUGCGGGCACAUGAAUGAUAAAAAGCACAACAGCUAUUAAAACGCUACUAACAAUAAAAGUCACAUGGCUCCCUUGAGUGCAGUUAAUGCAUGUAUUUUAUUUUUUCGGAAAUCAGGAAAUGCCUCCUGACAAGUGAGGGUUCCAGACCCCGACCGUAGAUAGAAAGUAACUCUCAAAUCCAGAGUGCAGAGAGAAAACCCUCAGCAUUUGGUGUUAGUAGUUGAACAUGAUGUUAUUCUAUAACCUGCACGCAUGGCCUUCCCUUUACUGCAUCUGAACACCGAAGCCUCUCCUACAGUGGAAAGUUCUCCCCGUGAGUCUGAUCAGCUUCGCUCGCCAUCAGCAGUGAACGACUUCAGCCUCAACUUCUGCUGCCGCUUGAGUUGUAAUAAGUGAAAAAGAAAGAGACACAGAAAAAUGGAGAGGGCGGAUGAGAGAGAGAGAGAGAGAGAGAGAGUGAAAAGAUUUUUUUUUUUAAACUCUCAAGGAAAAAGGUCCUCUGGUGCCUUUGUCCCAUUGGCCAAGGUCCCGCCGGGCGCUGGCGGCAACCGAUGACAUCACUGUAUGAAACACGACGGGGGAGGGCGCGGUGCUGUCUCUUGUCACCCUGGCAACAGGUCCGUGUGUGUCUGUGUGUGUGUGUCCUUGUUAGAGUUAUGCACUGGUUGCCUCACCUCUGGCUAUUAGUCCCCAGCCGAUCCCCCUUCUAUGUCCUGCGCUUCCUUCUCUUUCUUUGCUCUGUCUUGCUGUCUUCCUUCCAUCUCUCCAUCUGGUCUGUUCCAGACGGAGUCACGUUUGAUCAUCUAAAAAGUGUCGAGUAACUUCACACACAAAUAGGAUCGUGUCCUCCUCCUCCUCCCAUCCGGGUCCCCUUUUCAUCUCUCCUCACUCCCUUUUCCUCCCGUUCACAUGCCCUUUCAUCUUCCCUCCUUUUCCCUUGUCCCCUUCUUUCUCCCUCCCCUCCUCUUCCCUCUUUUUAAGUAUUCAGCGGAGUCUAUGGCAAGUGGAUUGGUGGCGUGCCCACUUAAAAGGAGUGGAGGAAUCACACCGCUAAUCCCAUUGUGAGAGAACAAGGGCUGAGGCGGCCCGAUGUGUGUGUGCAAAAAGAGAGCGAGAGUCCGUGAGCGAGUGACAUUACAGAGAAAGCGUGUUUGAGGAAAGGAAGGCAGAGGGAUAUCCGACAGGUGGGCGAUGCAGAAAGUCAGAGGGACGGAGAGACAGUGGGGUCUUUGUGUGAGCGCCCUGUUAAAUCAGGCCUGUAACACCGGCUUUCAUUGGAAAGCCUCUCCAGACCCUUGUGAUAGGUGGCAAGCUUCUCUGAUCCAUACAUGAAAGACGGAGAGCAACGAAGGGUGAGAGAAACAAAGUGGGGGCGAAAAAAAAUGAUGAGAGAGUGGAAUGUGAAAAUGUAAUUUCUCUACUUCGUGUGCAGUUUUGCUAAUGACGAAGAUGAAAGGGGAAAGAAAAGACAGAAUCACCAUGGACUCAACGCCUCCCUACACUUUGUCAGGGCUGUGCGCCUGGCUCAUGGGCACUUCUGCACCGGUUGUUAGAGAGUGAACCUGUCUGACCCACCACACCGUGCAGGUUUUUACAGAUGGCCCUGAAACAAUUGCGAUAACUAAAAAAGCUAAAUUAGCUUCAGUUGGUUCUGUAAAACAGUAAAAAACAAAAAACAAAAACAAGACGUUAAUGAAGAGAGAGAAACGCUGAGUGAAGAAGGAUCAGAGGAGACGUGAAUCUCGUCUGAUGUCUGUUCCAACCUUUACUUGCACCGUGCCAACGGCACCACUUCGUUCUUUUCUUCUUUUUCUCUGUCACCCCUCCCUUCCUCUCCAUCUCCCACCAGGCGCCAAACACACUUUUCUUUCAUUCCCAACACUUAAUUUCUCCCCCCCCCCUCCCCCCUCCCUCCCCUCUCGCCCAUUCCUCGCACUGUGGGAGGUAGAAAGAGAAUCAAGGAGGACGUUGAGACAUCGUUGUUAACGGUCGUCCUCUGAGCUCCCGUCUGAAACACACACAACAAGCGACGCGCAAUCACACGCGUGCAGGUGAGCGGUCGAGCAUGAAGGAAACACAUAUGGACACACACACACACACACACACACACACACACACACACACACACACUCCUUAUAGCUCUCUCCCGUCUGCUGACAAGAGUGUUUGUUCCCAUACCGCAGGGAGGGGGUCACAUGGGCGGCCAGCUGUCUGUUUGCGUGUUUGUUGGAGGGCGUACCGGGACACCUGGGGCCUCAACUCGUGCUGUAAGGUCAGAGAGGGUUGCACUGCUGGUGGCUGGAGGGUUCACACACACACACACACACACACACACACACGCACACGCACACGCACACGCACACGCGCACGCACGCACUCACACACACGCACGCACACACCAUCAGUUGCCUCAAGACAGAAUUAGCCCGCGUCACUGUCAAACAGAAUGGAUUAGAUUACUUCAAAUGCUAAAUGGUGUGUAUGUUAGCAAUUGUGCUGCCAGCUAAUCCAUUAAAGAGACCACACUGGUCCCAGUAGUACCAGCACCAAUCCCCCCACAGUCUCAGCUGGACCAUUGGCUAAGUGGAUGGAGCAGCAUCAUUUACUUCAUUUAUUUAUAUGACAUUGUGGACUGUGUGAUGUUUUUAAAAAUAAUUCAACAUCAGGGGUACCACUUGUAUCGCCUGUGCUGUUCCUCUGUUAGUCCACUUUUCUCCUCUGUCUGUCCUCACAUGACCUUGACUGUACAGGUUGUAUUGUAUCAUGUGAGUAUCAUUUACAUCUAAAUUAGCAUUAGUUAAAGGUAUUGACUUCCCUGACUGAAUUAAAUCAACCCCAUUGAUCCAAACUGAGCCAACAACAGAUUCAAUUGGGCGGGAAUAAUCUGAUACCAUUCAAAGUCCAGACAAAAGAAAAUACCCUCUGAUGGAUUAUGGUGCCAAUUUGCUUGAAUGAUUUGAAUGUGAACGCUAUUGCCGGUUUGAAUUAGUUCCGGCUAAUUUAUCCACAAAAAAAAGCAAUGCAACCUUUCUCACAGAGACAACGGAGCUGAAAUAAACCUGACAUCUACAUUUAAUUUCUAGCUGUUGUAACGACGGAAUUCAAUUUCUUGAAAGGAACAUGAAUCCUUUCAGUCUUUGAUAGAGAACUUGUGUAAACUAAGCUGAUUAUUGGUUAAGUGUUUUUAGGGUGAAUCGAGAAAGAGGAUUGUAGAAAGGGGUAUUAGGGUUCGAGAGUUGUUUUUCAACGCGGGCAUUAAAAAUGGUUUUAAUCUCAUUGUUAUGAGACGUCGUGGCUUUAAGGCAUCAGUUUUUCUCCGUGGUUUUCGGGGGUGUCACUACUUUUGUGAGUCCGCUCCCGUCUGGACUUUGUCUCAAUAUGUUUACCGUAUUUGUGUCAAAUGCACUAAUACUUUAAUCCAAUUGUUAUGUGUUCGAUGUUGUUUUGGACAGAGCUUUGUGCGUUCCUCACAGUUGUAAGUGGUAAACAGAUUCAAUCUUUGCAGGCUCUUAAGGGACAUAUCAUCCAUCAUACAAUCUGGUAAGGCUCAGUUUGGAGAAUUUGUCAUUUUAAUUUCCUCUUCACACACACACACACACAGACACACACACACACAUGCAGAGCACCAUUAAACAGACAUUAGAACACAAGUCCAUUCCAACUCACAUCAUCAUCGACAUCAUCAUCACUCACCGUGUUUUACUCAUCAGCCUGGUCAUUUAAUUAGUUUUCCAUACAAACAAAAUAUACUAUAUUAAUAUUUAUCCCGUUUUGAUGAAAACACGUAAUACUGGAGAUUAUUUAAAUGUUAUAUGUUAUACCUGGAUUUGUGUGACAUCAGAAUCACCAUCUUGAAUAUAUGAAUAGUAGUAAUGCCUUUUAAGAACCUGAAGAAACAGUAGUUCAACGUGAACAAUGGGUAAAAUGCAUCACCAGAAGCGGCUCACUUGGACCUCCUCCUAAUUAAGCGAACUCAUCCCAACCUUCAAGCGGUCAACCCACAAAGACUGAGGAACGAGGUAUGUGUCCAAGACGGAGCAGAACAGGUUUGUGCAGUAAAAAGCUGAAUAACAUACUUUUUUCUGGAGGGUGGUCUUCUUUUCAGACCUUUCUGUAUUUCUGUAAACUAACACAUCUUGUUGUCACCUAAACCUUAAGAGAGUAAAUCAGUACUGUUGUUAAUUUAUAUUAAAAAAAAGUUCACAAAUGCUCAGUCUCUGAUGUUUGCUGCUCUUAAAAUAGAUGCAGCCACAUUUUCUUUAUUCUUUAUGUACACGUGUAUACAGUAUAUCUAUCUUUUGUGUGUCAAAAUCAACAGAUGCUUGAAAUACAAACGGUCCCAUCUGCAGGGAACCUUCAUCGUCACCAUGGUCGCCGUAGUUCUGACAGCUUGAGCAGCCACCGUGGUCCCUGUUGACGAGCCGCUGUCCUCCACCCACCAACACGAGGACGAGCGUCUUGUUGAUUGCUGAUUGAAGUGGUGUUUGCGACUCUGCAGUCGAACACACACUUCAAUCACGCUGGUACAUAAUUAAUCUCCAGUGUGUCCAAGAUUCUGGUCCCUUCCAACAAGGAAACCAGGUAACAGGUUGUCAGCGUGCACACAAAUUAGGAGACAAAAAAACAAAGAAAAGUGUGUUCUGACAACAAAGAAGUGGCCCCAGGAUGCGCCUGGAAGAGCGACCCGUUGUUGACAGUGUUUCACGAUGCAUCGGCCACCCAGGAGGCCGGAUCGAUCUCCCAGAGGUCUUGUGCUCUAAAUGAUCGUCCUUUGUAUCGGUUUGACAGCACAGGUAUUCAUUUGUUGUCUGUUUUCUUUUAAAUACUAUCAUUUUAGCAUUUCUGUGCAGUGUGUGGCUGAUAUUGAUUGAAUGCAAUCUUACACAUACUGUCAAUACUUACUUGCCCUCCAUUAGCAGGAACGGAUAGAUCAGAUGCAUAUUGAUUACAGUGUGCAGAUAGUGCUUGUAUUGUGUGCAAUCAGAUGCCUCUCCAAAUUCAUAAUAUGCUCUUAUAGAUUAUUUAAACUACUCUCUGGAGAAAAACGAGGGCAGACCUCAUAACAGACAAUGUCUUUUUUUCGUAGUAGUAAUUAAACUCAAAAGGAUCGUUACGAUUGUGACGCUGCCACAAAUUGUACUAUUUAAACGAGUUACUUCGAAAAGUGUACUUUAAUAAAUGGAAACAGCUGCUUAGAACAGCAGUUUAGCUGAAUGGACCUCA